GGGGGAGACUGAGCGCUGCCUCUGCCAUGUUGGAAUUUCAAACCCCAAACAGCUGCUGCUGCACGGAGAGCCAGCGCGCCGCCGAUUGCGCAUGCGCCCUGCCGAGGAGCCAAAUUCAAAGCAGGGGUUGCGCGGACGACGCUGCUUUAACCACAGGGGUCAGUGCACUGAGAGGACUCCAGCGAUAUGUUUUCAGCGCUACACCUCCAACAGAGGAGCAGGGAUUGAGGAUGUGAGUUCGGACACAUGCGACGAGCGUCACCCAUAUUCCCCUGUGCCUGCGCUGCUCUAUAUGCUGGAGCCUUGGAGUGAUGCAUUGAUCCGGCCCUGAGCGCUCCCCAGUGAGCUCACUGGCCAUUUCCAGCACAGCCUUCAACCCCUUUGAGAAUUCCUGCCCACUGGGCACCCACCUCCUCACCACUCAGCCUCUCUAACAAAUGACCGACCGCCUCACUCCAAGGUAAUAAUUACUGUCCCGGUCCUGGCUGUGUCCGGUUGCUGCAGCUGGACCCACAGCUCCUUCGUCUUUCGCUGCUGUAGCUAAUCUUGAUUUAAUUGAGUCCCACCCCACCUUGCUUUUUUGGCAGAGAGGACUGUUCAUUACAGUGGAACAAUGUGGAUGUGAGGAGAAGGUGUAAUAGAGGGGAUACUUAGAGCAGCCUGUGAAAUGUAAUCGACUUCAAGCAGUAAACUAGACUGUACAACAGAGAGGAAACAGGAGGAGGAGAAAAGAGAGAGAGUGAGAGAGAGAGAGAGAGAGAG